UACGUAGGGUCCGAGCGUUGUCCGGAAUUAUUGGGCGUAAAGAGCUCGUAGGCGGUCUGUCGCGUCGGCUGUGAAAACACGGGGCUCAACUCCGUGCCUGCAGUCGAUACGGGCAGACUAGAGUUCGGUAGGGGAGACUGGAAUUCCUGGUGUAGCGGUGAAAUGCGCAGAUAUCAGGAGGAACACCGGUGGCGAAGGCGGGUCUCUGGGACGGUACUGACGCUGAGACGCGAAAGCGUGGGUAGCAAACAGG
rnacentral:rRNA from 1 species